rnacentral:miRNA from 1 species
UUGGUGUAAUUAUGAUGUCUUCG